GGAAUUACUGGGCGUAAAGCGCACGUAGGCGGACUUUUAAGUCAGAUGUGAAAUCCCGGGGCUCAACCUCGGAACUGCAUUUGAAACUGGAAGUCUAGAGACCAGGAGAGGUUAGCGGAAUACCGAGUGUAGAGGUGAAAUUCGUAGAUAUUCGGUGGAACACCAGUGGCGAAGGCGGCUAACUGGACUGGUACUGACGCUGAGGUGCGAAAGUGUGGGGAGCAAACAGGAUUAGAUACCCUGGUAGUCCACACCGUAAACGAUGAGAGCUAGUUGUUGGCAGGCAUGCCUGUCGGUGACGCAGCUAACGCAUUAAGCUCUCCGCCUGGGGAGUACGGUCGCAAGAUUAAAACUCAAAGAAAUUGACGGGGGCCCGCACAAGCGGUGGAGCAUGUGGUUUAAUUCGAAGCAACGCGCAGAACCUUACCUACCCUUGACAUACCGAUCGCGGUUUCCAGAGAUGGAUUCCUUCAGUUAGGCUGGAUCGGAUACAGGUGCUGCAUGGCU
rnacentral:rRNA from 1 species